rnacentral:rRNA from 1 species
UGACGGGCCGCACAGCGUGAGUAUGUGGUUUAAUCGGCGCAACGCGAAGAACCUUACCAAGGCUUGACAUCCCUGACGACCUAUGAAAGUUAGGAGUUCUGCCUUCGGGUAGACAGGGAGACAGGUGGUGCAUGAUUGUCGUCAGCUCGUGUCGUGAGAUGUUGGGUUAAGUCCCGCAACGAGCGCAACCCCUAUCUUUAGUUGCCAUCAGGUAGAGCUGGGCACUCUAGAGAGACUGCCGGUGACAAACCGGAGGAAGGUGGGGAUGACGUCAAAUCAUCAUGCCCCUUAUGUCUUGGGCUACACACGUACUACAAUGGCCGGUACAAAGGGCAGCGAAGGGGCGACCCGGAGCAAAUCCCAUCAAAGCCGGUCCCAGUUCGGAUUGUAGUCUGCAACUCGACUACAUGAAGUCGGAAUCGCUAGUAAUCGCAGGUCAGCAUACUGCGGUGAAUACGUUCCCGGGCCUU